AGUUCAGUCAUGGAAAAAUACCUGAAACAUUUGGAGACUGUUGUUGAAGCAAUUCAGAAAGCUCGCUUAAAGAGCAUGAACUUUAGACAACUUGUAAGUGUAUUCUCAAUAUCUUUGAAAGGACUUUGUUUGAAGAAUUAUAUUACCAUAUAGUAUGCCCCCACCCCAUACCAUCUGAAGAAACUGUAUCAGUCUAUCAUCACAGGUAAGUGGUUUUUCAAAAAAACAAAUUACCAUUUUUUCUUGUUCUAUAAA